UACGUAGGGACCGAGCGUUGUCCGGAAUCAUUGGGCGUAAAGAGCGUGUAGGCGGCCCAUUAAGUUCUGCGUGAAAUCUCGGGGCUCAACCCCGAGCGGUCGUGGGAAACUGGUGGGCUAGAGUGCGGGAGAGGAGAGUGGAAUUCCUGGUGUAGCGGUGAAAUGCGUAGAUAUCAAGAGGAACACCUGCGGCGAAGGCGGGUUGCUGGGCCGACACUGACGCUGAAGCGCGAAAGCCAGGGGAGCGAACGGG
rnacentral:rRNA from 1 species